rnacentral:rRNA from 1 species
CGUGUAGGCGGCUAAGUAAGUCUGGAGUGAAAGUCCUGCUUUUAAGGUGGGAAUUGCUUUGGAUACUGCAUAGCUAGAGUGCAGGAGAGGUAAGUGGAAUUCCCAGUGUAGCGGUGAAAUGCGUAGAGAUUGGGAGGAACACCAGUGGCGAAGGCGACUUACUGGACUGUAACUGACGCUGAGGCGCGAAAGCGUGGGUAGCAAACA